UACGAAGGGGGCUAGCGUUGCUCGGAAUUACUGGGCGUAAAGCGCACGUAGGCGGCUUGUUAAGUCGGAGGUGAAAUCCUGGAGCUCAACUCCAGAACUGCCUUCGAUACUGGCGAGCUCGAGUUCGGGAGAGGUGGGUGGAACUGCGAGUGUAGAGGUGAAAUUCGUAGAUAUCGCUUGGAACGCCAAAGGUGAAGACAGGUUGCUGGAGAUAUGCCGACACUGAGACGCGAAAGCCAGGGGAGCAAACGGG
rnacentral:rRNA from 1 species